GGUAGGUCCAAAAUGCAAAGUCUCAGAAGCCAAAUGACAUUUGUUUCCUCCUGAGCCUGCCUAAUAUCAAUUCUGACAACAGAGCCAGUUGCCAACUGGAGGGAGUGAGGUUCCUGCCUCUACCAAAGCCCAUGGGCAGUCUGGAGCCUUUCAUGAAGGCUCCUUCCAGAGACCAGCUGAACAAAGGCUCAGCUAGGGAUUGGAAAGAUAUAUGGCACUUGUGCUCCUGGCUCAGGACAGUGCUUGCCCCAUCCUUCCUCCUGGAAUCAGAGAGUGCUGCAAUUCUGUUAGCACCGCUCUCAGGCUGCAAAUUGGCUAGUUUGGGGAAAAGAGAUGUGGCAUUGCACACAGCUGCCUCCCCUAUCCUGUAGACUGUUGUCCGCUGAAAGGAGGUGAGGGCAGCACAGGCCUGUUGCCUCUGGGGUGGGGUCAGAGGUCACCACCACUCGUUGAAAUUGUAUUUUUCUUUUGAGCCCCUAAUACGAACCAAGCUUGGAUAUAAAAAAGAAGCAUAACAGAAUUAAUUGUCACUAACUAUUUUGGGUUUUAUUAAGACGAAAAGGAAGCCAGGAGGGCAAGAAAAAUGUCACUGAGCUGUGUACAGACAGGGCAGUGCAAUGCGCACAUGAUAAUUCAGCCACAUCCCUGGAAGGAAUCAACGAGCCCCAUUAAAACAGGGGAGUAAGCAGAGCAAUAAGAAAUGGUCCUGCCUGCAAAUCAUGUUUCUAGAAGGAAAGGAAUAUUGCCUGCUCCAAGGAAGGACGGGUCCAGUGAUAGAACAUGUGGGUGUGGAGGAUCACAGAGGUGAGACAUGGCAGGUACUGCUCCACCAGUGCUUCUCAGAAAUAGUAAGAAAUGAAGAAUGUCCCCAAAGGGCACAUGGUAGAGCUAUGACCUAUAGUUACUCAUGGGCUUCGGAGCCCCUGCCCUUUUAUAGGAAGGCUUUGGGGAGGAAUGUCUGUGGAGUCAGAAAGAUGGAAAGCAAUAUUGUCAUCUGAACUGGAUACGGGGAUAAGGACAGCUUGAGGAAUCAACA
rnacentral:lncRNA from 1 species